rnacentral:rRNA from 1 species
GAUGAACGCUGGCGGCGUGCCUAAUACAUGCAAGUCGAGCGAACAGAUGAGGAUCUUGCUCCUCUUACGUUAGCGGCGGACGGGUGAGUAACACGUGGAUAACCUACCUAUAAGACUGGGAUAACUUCGGGAAACCGGAUCUAAUACCGGAUAAUAUAUUGAACCGCAUGGUUCAAUAGUGAAAGACGGUUUUGCUGUCACUUAUAGAUGGAUCCGCGCCGCAUUAGCUAGUUGGUAAGGUAACGGCUUACCAAGGCAACGAUGCGUAGCCGACCUGAGAGGGUGAUCGGCCACACUGGAACUGAGACACGGUCCAGACUCCUACGGGAGGCAGCAGUAGGGAAUCUUCCGCAAUGGGCGAAAGCCUGACGGAGCAACGCCGCGUGAGUGAUGAAGGUCUUCGGAUCGUAAAACUCUGUUAUUAGGGAAGAACAAAUGUGUAAGUAACUAUGCACGUCUUGACGGUACCUAAUCAGAAAGCCACGGCUAACUACGUG